rnacentral:lncRNA from 10 species
GAACUCUCUGUGUAAAUCACUUCUUUCUACUUACUUGCUGUGCUUCUCUGAGUGCCUCGUGGCCUCUUUAUCACCACCUGUUGAAGGAAAUGUUAGAUCCAGAUAUGGAUGGAAGGGACUUUCGUAGCUAUAGAAACGAGGACUGAUUGGCACAAAGUUCCUGGGCUCUCCAGCCACAGUCGUCAUUUGGAAGGGAAUUCUAAGUCACCAGAGAGCUAACACUUAUUCUUGGGAGAAUGUAAGAGCAAAUCCUCCUUACGCUGCCAAACUGGCACAGGAUACUGCAGCCACUCUGCAAAUGAACAGUGCACAAUAAACAGGCCGAGAGAGAAAGCUUAAAGUUCUAAAAGCCCUCUUGAGGGAAGUGAGAAGGCAGUUCCUGGGAACAGUGAACAAAUGCCGUCAGAAGGUGGAAUCAUUGAUUUCAAUCAUGAAUGACUAAUGAUCGUGAUGGUGUGGUUUAGAACAGAAAUGCAGCUUCUACAGCCUGAAGAACUACCAGCCUUCUCUCCUGUGAUGUUCCAUUUAUACUUGCUUAAUAAAAGCAUCCCAAUAAAUUAGACCAUC